rnacentral:rRNA from 1 species
AGGACGAACGCUGGCGGCGUGCUUAACACAUGCAAGUCGAACGGUGAACCACCUUCGGGUGGGGAUCAGUGGCGAACGGGUGAGUAACACGUGACCAACCUGCCCCUAACUCUGGGAUAACCCCGGGAAACCGGAGCUAAUACCGGAUACGAGACCGAGUGGCAUCACUUGGUCUGGAAAGUUUCUCGGUUAGGGAUGGGGUCGCGGCCUAUCAGCUUGUUGGUGGGGUAAUGGCCUACCAAGGCGACGACGGGUAG